rnacentral:rRNA from 1 species
AUGAAUAGUAAUAGGGCCCCUGGACCUGAUAAUAUUCUAGUGGAGUUUUAUAAACAUUGUUGGGAUUUCGUCAAGAAAGAUAUCAUGAGACUUUUUGAAGCAUUCCAUAACAACACUCUGGAUGUUGAUCGCCUGAACUAUGGGAUUAUCACCUUGAUUCCAAAGGUCAAUGGGGCUAAAUGCAUCCAACAAUACCGUCCCACUUGCUUGCUUAGAUGCCCCUAUAAGCUUAUCACUAAGGUGUUGGACAAUAGGGUUGCUAUCUUUGCAGACAAACUGAUCAGUAAACACCAAAAUGCUUUCAUCAAGCAUAGAAACAUCAUGGAUGGUAUCCUUACUUUGCAUGAGGUGUUGCAUCAAACUCAUCGUAGAAAGAGAGUGGGUGUGGUUUUAAAAUUAGACUUCGAAAAGGCCUAUGACAAGAUCAAUUGGGAUUUCCUCAUUGAGUGUCAUCGCAACCGUGGCUUUGGAUCGACCUGGUGUGGCUGGAUAGAGAAAAUCCUCAAGAAUGGCACUUUGAGCAUUAAGCUCAACAAUGAGAGUGGUCCAUACUUCCAAAGUCACAAAGGGGUUCGCCAAGGCGAUCCUCAUUCCCCCUUCUUGUUCAAUAUUGCUGUAGAAACUCUAUCUAAAAUGGUUCGCAAUGCU